GGAAACCGGAUUUUGCCUCCCACACUUCAAAAAAAGAGAGCCUUGUUUGCACAAAGGGUAUUUGGUUCCCCACAUUUUCCCACCAACUUUCCCUAUAAAUAGAUGCACUAUUCCCCUUCAUUUUUCAUGCUUUCUAGCCCCCAAAAUUGAUGAAAAAAUAUCAUUCAACCUCUCUUCUCCAAACCUAAAUAAAAACCCAAAAAACUUUUCCCUCCCAAAAGUCACCACUACCAACUUUUUUCCAUUUCACAUUUUUUUCCUCAAAGUUUCUCACUCUCUAAC
rnacentral:lncRNA from 1 species